UUGUCUCAAAGAUUAAGCCAUGCAUGUCUCAGUACCAGCCAAAUUAAGGUGAAACCGCGAAAGGCUCAUUAAAUCAGUUAUGGUUCCUUAGAUCGUACCCACAUUUACUUGGAUAACUGUGGUAAUUCUAGAGCUAAUACAUGCAAACAGAGCUCCGACCGGAGACGGGAGGAGUGCUUUUAUUAGAUCAAAACCAAUCGGCGGCGGUCGCGUCCGCGCGGCCGUUCGCCGCUCAACCUGGUGACUCUGAAUAACUUUCGGCUGAUCGCACGGUCUCGCACCGGCGACGCAUCUUUCAAAUGUCUGCCUUAUCAACUGUCGAUGGUAGGUUCUGCGCCUACCAUGGUCGUAACGGGUAACGGGGAAUCAGGGUUCGAUUCCGGAGAGGGAGCCUGAGAAACGGCUACCACAUCCAAGGAAGGCAGCAGGCGCGCAAAUUACCCACUCCCGGCACGGGGAGGUAGUGACGAAAAAUAACGAUACGGGACUCAUCCGAGGCCCCGUAAUCGGAAUGAGUACACUUUAAAUCCUUUAACCAGGAUCAAUUGGAGGGCAAGUCUGGUGCCAGCAGCCGCGGUAAUUCCAGCUCCAAUAGCGUA
rnacentral:rRNA from 1 species